GAAACCUUAUGCUGUAUUAAAAUGGACUGGGUAUCAAAGUAUCUUAACAGGAAAGGCUGUAGGGAGUAGAAGACAGAUGCAAAAUGUGUAAAUCCCAACCUCCUGUAAAUACACACAGCAAGGUUCUGCACAUUUCAUUAAUGAAGCAAGGUGGACUAUUUAAGUACAUCUAUUCUCUCUUAAGCCCAUUUCUUAAAUCAGUGUUAAGGUAAAACUUGCUGGACUUUUUGCACAAAUUAGUUACCAAGUAUCUGCCAAACAUCUAAACUUUUUUAAAACCUAAACCACUAUCGUUUAGCCUAAAACUUCAGCAAAGCCAGGGAUACCAAAAUUAUUCUGUGUGUCAAACCCAAGAAAGACCUUUUUUUAAAAAACUUGUAUUCUUGUAGUUUUCAGUAAAAAAAUGGAUUGGAGACCACGCAGGGAAAAUCCUGACUCCAGUAAACAAUUAUGUAUGUGCCAAGGGCAUAAACACCUGGCUCCUGUGAUAAAGGGCAUAUACAAAUGUCCCAACAGUGUAAUGUGUGUAUUGUGUAAGUAACCAAGGGGUCAACCUUAAUAUAGGCUCAUCUGCUGGGGCACUUUGCUGUUUUCUAACAGAAAAGCUAGCAAAUGAAAGAAAUGGGCCAGAAAUACUAGUAGCCUUGUACUGAACUGCUGAGGGAGGAAGCUGAUAACAGACCCUAAAAGGCAAGGUUUAUUAAUACCGUUGCUCAUUAUUGUCAUAUUUAGGGAGGUUUUCCUUCUGCCUUCACAGACGUAGAUGCCAACCAUCCUACUCCACUUGUCUCGCAGAGUAGACCACCCAGUGUAGGAACAUGAGACUUUCAAAUCUGGUGCCUAAUUCCUGAGUGAAUCAGAGUCAUGCCAUCCCUGGUGUCAGCACACCAGCCUUCCUCUGAGUUCAGGCAUUGUGCUGCAGCUUGACCCCCUGCAUCCUCACAGGCGUAUUGUCUCCUUUGUACUGAGUGUGAAUUUCAAGCUAUAUCAGUCUGUUAGACAGCCUGAAACUAUUGUAGCCUGGGCAUUGGUCAGUUGCAAGUCGUCUUUCCUUCUUCCUUAUCUGCAUUCACUGUUGUCUCUGUGCGUAGUUUCUGAAAAGCACAAUCUAGUAGCAUCUGUGUACUCCUUGUGGUUCUCCUGUACUUUAGCCCUUUGGUGCAUGCUGAACCUUUAUCUGUAGUUACUGCCUGUUUAUGAAAGUAGUUUCUUUAAAGCAUACUUCUAAAAGGACAAGGUGAAGAAUCUUGCCAAGUUCACAGUAACUUACUAAAUCUAACCAGUGUUAAAAGUGGGAAAAAAUUCUGCUGAAGCAGGAUUUGGAGAUAUUCCUGUUCCUCCUUUGACAUGUUUGAGGAAAGUCAGCAGCUUCUGAUGGUUCCGAGGUGGUGGAUUUCUACAAGGCAUUAAAAGCAAAUGUUUUAAUAAAAAUGUAUUUUAAAAAUGUUUAUAAAUGACUGUAUAAAUUAUGUUUUUCUCCAUUUCCUCUUUUUAGUGCUUUUCACUUCUUGCUAGUUCAAGAACUUCUCAGCUUGGGAGUGAGGAGCAGUCUCCAGUGGGUUGAGAUGGGUGGUGGGAGCCCCAGCUGCGCUGCUUCUUAGAUGCAGAGAUGGGAAGGCAGACAUAGCUUGCCUGAAAUCAGACAGAAGAAAUAUUCGAGGAAAAGGUGUUUUCCUUCUGUGGCAGAGGUAGAGAAGUACCGUAGGAGACAUUUUCUAAAAAUGUUGAUAAAAAAUAAUUUAAUAGAGUGUUUCUUUAUUCAAAGUUUGUGAAAGAACAGAUGACAUUCAAAAAAUCCUGAAAACCUAAAAGCAAAUUAGGAGCUCUAGUUUCCUUAUUAAUUUUUGUUAAAUUUAAUAUUUAUGGCCCACUUACAUAUAAAUACUGGUCAAAGUCCCUGUGAUUAAUGAAUGUGGAUAAAUAGUUACUCAGAUCUAAACUCGAUUGAGGAAAGCAAACUCAGUUUUGUCCUUUUCAACUCUUACAUUGAAUAAAAUGUCAAUGAUGAAUUGAAAGAGCCAAAUUGCAUUGCAUUUAGUUUAUCUGGAAAGCAAGGAGUUUAUAGUCACUUUUGACCGGUGAGACAAAUGUAUCUUUUUCUUUCACUGAGGGCAUGUGUAAAAACUUGCUUGUAUUUUUUUUAGCAGAUUGUCUCUGAAGACAUUGAAACCUUUCACCAAGAAAUUAACUAAGGUGGUUUUCCGUACCUGAAGAAUUAUUUAGGAAUGUUUUUAUUUUAGUCCCUCUUUCAACAGCUUGUCCAUGUAAAUUUUAAAGUGGGAAAAAAUAUACAAAGGCACAUCUUUGCAUAGAAAAAAAAAAUCUGUGUAAAAUUCAUAAUUCUAGCAUAAAUGCUAGAAUUGUCAUCAGAAAACAGUAAUUUGGGAGGUUCUUUAUGCAAGGUGGAAUAUUUGAUUUGAAGAGAUUGAUUUUUAACUUCAUCUAAGACAGUGGAAACUUUGACUUGUUAUUGCUGUCUGUUGGCUUGUUGUUCAGAUGAUUUCUGCUGGGCACUAUGUUCUCCAGCAUCCAAUAUGAAAAAUAAAAUGAAGACUUGUUUUUUU